UAUAUUUUUCAUCUUCUUUUUCCUCACAUCUAAACGGUUGGCGUUGCCUUCUCCAUCUUUUCUUCUUGUCGUCGCGCCGUCAAUCGUAGCUCGUCUGUCGGCCGUAGCGUCUAGCCACCGCCGCCGUUCUCGUCGUCCCUGCAGCUUCAGUAUGCAAGACAAGUCAUUGAUGGCUAACGUUUCUGAAAAUCGUUAUGCUCCGAAUGUCCACACUCUGACGAUCUGACUUAUUUACCUAAUGGAGAUAACUUUCUUCGUUGGUCCCAUGGUGUUCAAAUGUAUAUUCAUAGACAAGUAAAAAUAGGAUAUCUUACCAGAGAGAAAGGCACCGGCCAAAGUUGAUCCAUUGUUUGCUACUUGGAUACUGAAAACGCCAUUGUUAUGACUUGGAACUAUGUGUGUUACUCUAUCGUGAAGAACUCACUGCAUGAAAUUUUGGAUCUCUCGACAUCACUUUAAAUCGUCAGGAGAUGAUGCUUUGGGAGAUAAGGCCUCUCCUGACGCAACCAUCAGCAAGUUCACGGCAUCGGGAGAUAGAAGCGAAUUCCCGAUGCAUUAAUUAAAGCGUCGACAGUUUUGGGGAUAACUCUCAAUGCAUGUUGGACGGCGUCGGGAGUUAGUCUUUAAAAACCCUCCCAGAUUUGUACUUCACAAACCUGCGAAGAAGGGGAAGGGGAUGGGUAUAAUUCUAUGGAGAGAGGUGCUAGGUCUAUAACCCACCUCUUACUGGCGCCGUCGUCGCUGUCUUCUUCUAGGCUCCUAAAGAAGAGGGUCACUAUUAUCAUGGUAGAGUUUCCUGAUGGUGGCUUAAACAAAGCUUAGCUCGUCUUGAUUCCUCUCGUAGAAUCCUUGGUACUUUUCUUCUCACUAAGAGAUCCACAAACACCGUUUCUACUUUGCUGCUUGACGCCUUUAAGCCCAUCGGUGCUUCUCACCUCUUCUUCAAUCUCUUAUACGGUUUGUUCUUCUUUCUGGGUUUCUUUGUUUUUCUUCUACAAUUGAUUUGUUUGUUGUUGGAUGUGCUUGAAAUUGUUUGUAUAGUGAUCUAAUUUUCUUCUAUUUGUGGGGUUUUUUCAAGGAUGGAAGAUAUUUUGUGACAUUAUACUGAGAUUUUUAUUCAUCUGCUUGUUAAUUCUUAUUAAUUACCAGGUGAACUCUGCUUAUUAUUGAUAUAAACUGUCUUCUCGGAUUCUAAUUGCAAGUGCUUCAGUUUUCAUGGGAUUGGAAAGAGGGAAGGGGGUUCUUAAAUGGUUGUGUUGUGAAUAGAUUCUUCCUUUAGAAUUGGUGAAUUAUGGUGUUUUCUUUGAUGUCUUGGUAAUGAUUUGGAUAUACAUAUAUUAUGAAAGUGAAUUUGUUCUGUUAGAUCCUUCAUCGCUCAUUCGGGAUCAUGGGUGAAGGAGGUUUACUGUAGGAACUGUGGGAUGUUAAGGAUGCCAAUGGCAAUCCGUUUGCUACCUUUGCUGGUUUCUGGGAGAGAUGUCUUAGCAUGCCUUGUAAUCCAAAAGCACCACUACUACCACCUAAGAGAAUAGUUUCAGCUCAAAAUAAGGCCAAGCAGAGAACCCGAACCUUGGAGAUUCAGAACCUAAACCACUCAUCCUUUUGUUCUGCUUUAUUACAAACUUAAUGUGGGCAGAUAUUGUGAAUGGUUCACGUUAUGUUUCAUUGUAUACUUUCAUGAGUACCCUUCAUUCUUGUUCUUUUACAAGGAAAUGGACCUUGUGUCUAAAUAUGGUCUGCAACGUGGGACUUUGAAGGGUGAAUUAUUUAUAAUUUUAUCAGAGCAAGGAAACAAUGGUAUGUAACAAUGUUGAGACAAAUGUGGAUUACUUCACUCUCAUUAUUAUUAUAAUUGUUGAAAAGUUGUGCACCAAAGUUCAAA